rnacentral:lncRNA from 1 species
UCAAAUCCAUAUGAUUAUACUGAGCUCAAAUAUGAUGCAGCUCUUAUGGAUGCUGCAAGUGCAACAGUCAAAUUUUAGUGGCUUUGGUGUUGUCUACUGUUUCCAGGUGCAUGGAUUGGAUGGAGCAGUCCAUGCGAAUCUUGGACGGAGAUGUUUUGACAAGUCUCUUGGUACUCUUAUGGUAUCUUUGGAACACUGGUAACAAUGAGGUGCUCAUUGGCAAACAAACCCCACCGCUUGUGGCUCUUGAUUAUACAGGAGAAUUACAAGCAGAGUUCCACAUUCAUAAUUUGACUAAACAGCUAACCUUGCCCCAUUGUCGGAGAGGUUAGAUGAAGGCAUUGGAGGGACAAACUUUGAAGAUCAACGCAGAUGCCUCCUUUGUUGCAAGAGACCACGCAUCGGGCAUAGGCGUCAUGACGGGCUGGUCCUAGGCAGGUGCAGAAAGAGAGUAGCUGAGAUGAGUGACGGUAGCAUGGUGGAAAUGAUGCCAUCAUUUGUUGGGCUAAAACUUGGUAGAGAUCAGGGUUUUGAUAAUAUUAUAAUUUAGUGUGAUGCUUAUUAUAUAAUCUCCAACUUACUAGUUUCUGUGAGGAAUUGUCUUUAUUGGGCCAUAUAUAUUCUUGGUGAAGCCAUAGCUUGCUUUCACAUUGUCUAUAAGCUUUUAAAACAUUUGUAUUCACAAUUUAGAAAAUUGAUAUUUGGUAUCAUACCGUAACAUGUUUUUAAAAACUAAAGCAAAAUAUUAUGUAAUACUAUAAAUACUAUUUUUAUUAUAUUAUUUAAAUAUUAAAACAGAUAUAACCGUAUAAUAAUAUUGAACAAUUAUAGUUGUUUUGUAAUUUUGACUUUUGAUCAUGCUUUAAUUUUUAUCUUAUUAUAUAGUUAUAUGAUGAUUUUAAAAUUUAAAACAUAGUAGUUAAAAAAUAUAUGAAGGCGGUUAUGUUAUGUUUUUAAAAAUUAAAGCAUAAUUUCAAUUGCAUUACUUAAAAAAAAGUAUCUUUUAAAAUUCGUUUUUCUUAAGAUCACAUAUUAACUUAAAUAAAUGUUGCAGUAGUAUAAAUAUUUUUUCUAAAAAUUAAUGUGGUUUUUUAAAAUAUAUGCUUAAAAUAUUGUUUAAAAUUUAUAAUGUUUUAAAAUUAAAAUACUUGGAAUUUUAAAGUUUAAUUUUUAUAUUCUAAUAUUUAAAAAAUUGUUGAACUACAUACUUGUCAAUCUAUUCAUAAUGUUUAACUUAAUUCAAAAAUAAUAAAUUAACAAAAUUAUUAGAAACAACUUAUAACAAAAUUAAUUUUUAAAUAUUAUAUUUAAAUUUAUUUUUUAUUUUAUUAAUACAUACCAUUAAGUUGUGAAUUGCACGGGUUGACCGUUUAGGUAAUAGGGUGAUGCAUUGUGUUAGUCAGUUGAGGCUUAGUGGCUCACUUGAUACUCUUUGGUUGAAUUACCCCUUCAAAUAUCCAUGAUGUUGUAAUGGCCGAUACUUAUCUUCAUUGUACUCAAAACAUAUUUUGUCAUAGAAAAAUUGAAAAUGCAUGUGUUUAGCACAUAAUCAUGUUG